rnacentral:rRNA from 1 species
CGCGUAGGCGGAUUGUUAAGUCAGGGGUGAAAUCCCGAGGCUCAACCUCGGAACUGCCUUUGAUACUGGCGAUCUUGAGUCCGGGAGAGGUGAGUGGAAUUCCUAGUGUAGAGGUGAAAUUCGUAGAUAUUAGGAAGAACACCAGUGGCGAAGGCGGCUCACUGGCCCGGUACUGACGCUCAUGUGCGAAAGCGUGGGGAGCAAACA